GUGACAGUCACCUGGACUUGGACCCUUCUGCCCUGAAACAGACACAGCCGACUGAAGGCUGUGCUGGGUGCUAAAUGGUUCAGCCAGGAGGGGACAAACGAGGGUGCCUUUGGCUUCUGUGUUUGACAAGGCUCCUACUGAGCAGGUGACAAAGUCCUGGCCUCACUCGGGCCACCAGCCAGCGGUGUCUGCCCUACCCCUCAGGGUACACCUCUGCACAGUGGAAUGAGAGGAAAGAGGGACCCUCCCCUUUCCAGCCCUCGGUGUGUGAAGUACAGGAACAGAGCAGAGCCAGAUGACCUCGCUUGGGCGUGUUUAGCUGUUCACGUACUUCAUGUUCGUUCACUCUGGUAACCCUUUUCCAUUAGAGGAAGAAAUGGAAGUCCAGAGAAGGAGCUCGCAGCGUCCUUCCCCAACCACCAUGCCUGCUGCUUGCUGCCCAGCUUCCUCGCCAUGCUGGACUCUUACCCCUGGAGCCAUCAGCCAAGCAAACUUCGUCCUUUACAUUAUGGUAGUCACUGCAACAGAAAAGGUUCAUAAGUUCGAGGUCAUCCUUUGCCACAUACAGCAUUUGAGGACAGAUUAAGACUUGAGCUAACAGAGACAGGAGCUGAGGAGAGACCACUCAGUGGGAGCCCCCCAGAAGAAAACGUGGGAAGCAGAAGUGCCUAUGUUGGCACGCCGCUGGUUGACCAGAAGUACCAGGAGAGUGCACCCCCACCAGCCCCAGCCCACCUGCCCAUGAUGGAUGGCGUCUGUCUGCUGCUUUAUUAAACUCACGCCAAGGUUCA